CAUUUUUUUUAUUUUUCUUUUCUUUGCUCAAAAUAUCCCAUCUCUCCCUCGGAUAUCUGACUGCUCUCUCUUUCUCCUUCAACCCCAAUCUCAACGAUCAGAUAACAUGACCAGAGGCAGAGCAAAAAAUUCAGAAAUAAUAUUGAUAUGAUUCUACUUUGUUGAAAUUGGCUACCAUUUGACUCCACAAUCAAAAAAAGAAAUUGGCUACCAUUUGGACCAUGAAGGGGUCAGACUCAGAUCGGGUAGCGGUGGUGGUAACAGCCGUAGCCGAGGCGGCGGUGGUGGAUUGAGGGGUGUAGAGUUCAGGUGGUCCUAGAAGAGUCGCGGACAUGGGAUCGAAGCAGACUCAGAUCUGCUUUGACUCGAAAAUUUCUUUUCUCCUUCAACCCCAAUCUCAACAACCUGAGAGAUAAAGCAGAUCCAGAGACCGAGUCAAGCGAUUCUGGGCUACCCAUCUCCUACCCGAGUCUCCAAGCACGCAAAUCUGCGUUUUUUCCUACUGGAAUUUGGACUGAACAUGAACGGCUGAACAACUUCAAAUUUCAGACGGCUAAGAAUGUAGAAGAGGAAUGUGAUUAUUGAAGACUUAAUCAUUGAUUCUUCUUUGGUUCGGGAGUUGCAGGGCUUGAGACUGAAUGGUGUCACCAUGAAUGGCUGAACAGCUUCAAAUUUCAGCCUCAGAUUACAACUGCUACUAUGUCACAUCCAAAAUUUACUCAUGCUGAAUUGGAAGGAACAAGAUAAGGAACAGAGUAAGAACAGGUGCUAUGAGAAAAAAUGUCCUUCACCACCUUUAAUCUUAUGGUGCCUUCCAAAGGAGUUUGAUGAAGGAAGACUUGCUUCAAUACUUAAUGAAUGUAUAAAGGUGCUCUUUCUGUAGAUUUAAAGAUCACUGCUAAGCGACCUGAUUUGAAGGUCAUAUCCAAGGCAAGUCAAUAUUCAAUGGUUUACUUUUGUUUUUGUAGAAUCUUUUGUUACAAU